rnacentral:rRNA from 1 species
UACGUAGGGCGCAAGCGUUAUCCGGAAUUAUUGGGCGUAAAGAGCUCGUAGGCGGUUUGUCGCGUCUGCUGUGAAAGACCGGGGCUCAACUCCGGUUCUGCAGUGGGUACGGGCAGACUAGAGUGAUGUAGGGGAAACUGGAAUUCCUGGUGUAGCGGUGAAAUGCGCAGAUAUCAGGAGGAACACCGAUGGCGAAGGCAGGUCUCUGGGCAUUAACUGACGCUGAGGAGCGAAAGCAUGGGGAGCGAACAGG